AUUGAACGCUGGCGGCAGGCCUAACACAUGCAAGUCGAGCGGAUGAAGGGAGCUUGCUCCUGGAUUCAGCGGCGGACGGGUGAGUAAUGCCUAGGAAUCUGCCUGGUAGUGGGGGAUAACGUCCGGAAACGGGCGCUAAUACCGCAUACGUCCUGAGGGAGAAAGUGGGGGAUCUUCGGACCUCACGCUAUCAGAUGAGCCUAGGUCGGAUUAGCUAGUUGGUGGGGUAAGGCCUACCAAGGCGGCGAUCCGUAACUGGUCUGAGAGGAUGAUCAGUCACACUGGAACUGAGACACGGUCCAGACUCCUACGGGAGGCAGCAGUGGGGAAUAUUGGACAAUGGGCGAAAGCCUGAUCCAGCCAUGCCGCGUGUGUGAAGAAGGUCUUCGGAUUGUAAAGCACUUUAAGUUGGGAGGAAGGGCAGUAAGUUAAUACCUUGCUGUUUUGACGUUACCAACAGAAUAAGCACCGGCUAACUUCGUG
rnacentral:rRNA from 1 species